UAUAUCUUAGAUAUUCAUGUUUGUGAUCCGAUUUAAUGUCAAUGAACUUGAGAUAGUCUUGGUAAAAUGAUGAGAGACUGCUGGUCAAUCAUGCACUAGUUAACUACAUCUUCUCCUGUAGCUUUGACAGAAAUGCCUAUAGCUAUUCAAACUGAUACGGCAAAAUCGCAACACUAUGAACUCCCUACUUCCUUUUUCAAGCUAGUUCUAGGAAAACAUCUCACGUACAGUUGCUGUUAUUUUUCUCACAACCAGCCAAAUCUAGAUGGUGUGGAGAAAAAAAUGUUAGAUUUAUAUUGUGAGAGGUCAGGAAUACAAGAUGGUAAUACAGCUCUUGAUGUUGGAUAAGGAUGGGGGUCACUCUCCUUGUACAUUGCACAUAUAUACGGAACAUGGUGAGCUAAAUGAUGGAGAAAUGUAGAUUUAGCAAUGAUACGGUGGAGGCUCUUGUUUGUUUUUGAGUCAUUUUGUGAUUUCUAGUAAUGUACGUUGAAUUUAUUUAUGUGGAUUUUAAUUUUAUGCAUUUUGUCAUUAAAAACACAAAAUUAAUUAGUGAACGACUAUUUUGUAAUGCAUGUGUCCUAUGGGCACUAACAUUCUAAUAUUACUCUUUAAGUCAAUGAAAAUCUUUUA